rnacentral:rRNA from 1 species
AGUCUCUAUGCCUUGAAUGGAGCACUGGAUUGGAUACCCGGGAAACCGGCGCUACCAUUUAUAAGAAGUUAUAUUC